UAGUGCUUAACGCUAGAACUGCAAUUGAUACUGGUAGGCUUGAGUUAAGAAGAGGUAAGUAGAAUUUAUGGUGUAGUAGUGAAAUGCUUAGAUAUCAUAAGGAAUACCAAUAGCGAAGGCAGCUUACUGGUCUUAUACUGACGCUGAGGCAACGAAAGCGUGAGGAGCAAACAGGAUUAGAUACCCUGGUAGUCCACGCCGUAAACGAUGAUCACUCGAUAUACAUGUAAUUCAUGUGUGUCCAAGCGAAAGCGUUAAGUGAUCCACCUGGGGAGUAUACUNGCAAGGGUGAAACUCAAAGGAAUUGACGGGGGUCCGCGCAAGCGGUGGAGUAUGUUGUUUAAUUCGAUAAUACGCGAGGAACCUUACCUGGGCUAGAAUGUGUUUUGCAACCUCAAGAAANUGAGGGCUCCUUCGGGACGGAAUACAAGGUGCUGCAUGGCUGUCGUCAGCUCGUGCCGUGAGGUGUUGGGUUAAGUCCUAUAACGAGCGCAACCCUUUUACUUAGUUGCCAGCACGUAAUGGUGGGGACUUUAAGUAGACUGCCCGUGUAAGCGGGAGGAAGGAGAGGAUGAGGUCAAGUCAUCAUGGUCUUUAUGCCCAGGGCUACAAACGUACUACAAUGGCGUGUACAAAGGGAAGCUACUUGGCAACAAGAUGCAAAUCUCAAAAGCACGUCUCAGUUCGGAUUGGGGUCUGCAAUUCGACCCCAUGAAGUUGGAAUCGCUAGUAAUCGCGUAUCAGCAAUGACGCGGUGAAUACGUUCUCGGACCUUGUACACACCGCCCGUCA
rnacentral:rRNA from 1 species